rnacentral:lncRNA from 1 species
GGAGGCCAGCAGGGAACAGUGUGCAGUGGGACAGCAGGAAGCACAAGUCCCCAGGGAGCCCAACAGGGCACUCGGGAGGCUUCCUGGAGGAGGUGACCCCACUGAGCUCUCAGAAUGAGAGGGAUUGGUCCAGUAGAGGGCUGGAGGGGACAGCAGAGACGGGGUGCUCCAGAGUGGGGGGGGACAGCAGCAUGGGCACUGGGGCAGGAGCUGGUUCUGGAUGGAGGGGCAGCAGGGGAGGGGGCAGGGCAGGGACCAGACCUGGAGGGUCACCUGCGGCUCAGGCCAUGUGAAGGAGUUACACUCCAUGCCGCUGCAGUGCAGAGUGAGGUGCGGGACAGCGGGAGGAUGGGGAGAGGCAGCUGCCUAGCAAUCCGAGGUGGGGCCAGGCUUCGGGUGGGGCUGGGGGAUGGAGAGUCGGAGAGUCAGAGCAGACCUGUGGACCUUUCAGGAGGUAGGAUGGACCUUAAGUGGGUCCAGAACCCCCUCUCUGUCCUCCACUUGCCAUUACGCAAUGGGAGACAGACGGAAGAGCCCAGAGGGAUCCUGCCCCUUGGCUCCCUCAAACCUUGGCCCUUCCUUUUUGCCCUGGGCUUCCAGAGGCAGCUUCUAGGAGUGGGGGUUCCAGCUGGAAGGGGCCUAGCCGUGGCUUUGAGAGGCCUGGAGUCUGCUGGAAGCAAGGCCACCCAGCAGGAGGGCUGGACAGAGGGAAAAGGGGCCACACAUGAGCAGCAGCAGUCAGCCCAGGGAGGCCAGGCAGUGAGAGGAAGCCAGGCACAGCCAGGGCCUGCUGGGAAGGGCCCGCCGGCCUUCUUGGAACAAGGGGGCUGGAGCAGCCAUCCAGCAACUUUGGCCUGGCUGGGAACAUUAGAAGGGACCGAGGCGGCGAGAUGUCUAAAAUAGGAAGACGCCGGGGACGCUCGGCCUGGCUGCCCGCGAUGCUGGCUGCAGGGAUCUGGCCGGGCUGUGCAGAUGGGAAAGCUAGGAGGUGAGGCAGAGACAGGGCUUAGCAUCUGGAAGCUGGUUCUGGGGCCCCGGGGACCUGUGGGGAGUGGGGAGGCUGACCCACUCUUGGGAGGGGACAGGGGUCCGCUCUGCUCGCCACCACCGGGCACCCGAACCCCAGGGGCUUCUCCCUGGUCCUGCCGGAACCUCCCACGCAAAUCUGUUCUCAGACAUUUCCUGCAGUGUGGGGGAUGCACAAACUGACUCAUCCAUCCAUUCAGUUAGUCACUAAAUAUUUUUUUGAGCAUCUAGUGCUCGCCAGACGCCGUGCCUGCUACUAGGUCUGCAGCAGGGAGCAAGGUGCAGUGUCCGGCCCUCCGCAGGGGUAACAACCCGCUGGUAAACAGGUCAUUGCAACGCGGUGUGGGGGUCAAGAGCGGCAGGAGCACAGAGAAGGAGCCUCACCUGCCUGGGAGAGGUGGUCAGGGGAGGAUUCCUGAAGGAACUGGCACCUAAACUGGGGCCUAAAGGAAUUAGACGGGUAAAGGAGGAGGAGCCAUUGCCUGUGCGGUAGCUUUAAAUUCCAAGUGGUUGGAGCCGAGGUUGAGAGGCUGGGGAGAGACCAGGGAGGGAGGGAGGCAGGAGCAGGUCGGGCAGGGCCUCCUGGGACGGUCCACGCCUACCCUGAGGCUGAUCUCUGGGAUCGUCCCAGUCACCCUUGGAAAGGCCUCCCUGGUUAUUGGGUGGAAGAGGGUGGGCGAUGGGCCAGGGCUGGACUGAGGAGGCGGUGGCUUGGGGACUGUUUGCUGAGCACCACCAGAGGUGGCAUGGUUUUGACUGCUCACCCACUGUCGCGUGUGGACCUUGCAAUGGUCCCAUUUCACAAAGCAGGGCAGUGCACCAGGUGAUGUGACUUGUCCGGGGCCACUGCCGUGAGUGACCCCAAGGCAGGCCUGGACCCUGGAGGUUACAGACUCUGUGUAGGGGUGAGAAGAGGAGGAAAAUGAAGCUAUUCAUUCUACAUCUUGCUGUCCCACAAGCCCAGUCAGAAUGCGGGCCUGUUCUCGGGCUUACGGGGUGCUAUGGUUCGGGUCUAAAGUGUCCCCCAAAAGGCUUUUGGAACUGGGGCUUUUGGAAGGUGACUGGCUCAUGCGGGUGCUAACAUUAUCAGUGCGUUAAUCCGUUGAUAGACUCAUAAUCAAUGGCAUUAUUGGGAGGUGACAGAAACAGGAGGCAGGACCUAGUCAAAGGGCAUGGGUCAUAGGGCCAUGAAUUUGGCCACUAUACCUUUCUCUCUCUCUCCCUCCCUCUCUCUCUCUCUCUCUCUCUCUCUCUCUCUCCUGGCUAUCAUGAUAGGAACAGAUUCCUUCUACCACGCCAUGAUGUUUCUCUCUCACCACAGGCCUAAAAAAUCAUGGAAUCAGCUGACCAUGGACUGAAACCUCUGACUCCACGAGCCAAAAUAAAUGUUCUGUAUUUUAAGUUGAUUUUCUCAGGU